rnacentral:rRNA from 1 species
UACGUAGGGCGCAAGCGUUGUCCGGAAUUAUUGGGCGUAAAGAGCUCGUAGGUGGCUUGUUGCGUCUGCUGUGAAAGUCCGUGGCUUAACUGCGGGUCUGCGGUGGAUACGGGCAGGCUAGAGGCUGGUAGGGGCAAGCGGAAUUCCUGGUGUAGCGGUGAAAUGCGCAGAUAUCAGGAGGAACACCGGUGGCGAAGGCGGCUUGCUGGGCCAGUUCUGACGCUGAGGAGCGAAAGCUAGGGGAGCAACCAGG